AACCUUAUGGACCUGCGGGCGUAUACCUGCGGAGGGAUCAUCAUUAAAUCCAUUUCUAAACACCCUGUGAACUGUGCGGGGGGAUGCGGAGAGGAGGGAUGCCGCGGCGGUAUGCUGCAGGCGUUUCUCUCCGCCGCGUUCUCCUGCGUGUGCUGUGUGAUUUCGAGCGUAUGCGUGUCUCUCCUGCCUGGGGGGGGCAUGCUGCGGUCGUAUUACCACAACAAACUCUAUGUAUGAAAU
rnacentral:misc_RNA from 1 species